UAGAUCAACGGUGACCACUGAUUAUAUGCAGUCCAUGGAUCAUGACUACAGGUCUGGGCUUCUGAGGUCCAU